rnacentral:rRNA from 1 species
CCUACGGGGGGCUGCAGUCGAGAAUUUUUCUCAAUGGGGGAAACCCUGAAGGAGCGACGCCGCGUGGAGGAUUGAAGGUCUUCGGAUUGUAAACUCCUGUCAUUGGCGAACAAGGUCUGCCGGUUAACUGCCGGCGGAAUUGAUAGUAGCCGAAGAGGAAGGGACGGCUAACUCUGUGCCAGCAGCCGCGGUAAUACAGAGGUCCCAAGCGUUGUUCGGAUUCAUUGGGCGUAAAGGGUGCGUAGGCGGCGGUGUAAGUCGGGUGUGAAAUCCCG